UGGAUUGAGAGCUUGCUCUCAAGAAGUUAGCGGCGGACGGGUGAGUAACACGUGGGUAACCUGCCCAUAAGACUGGGAUAACUCCGGGAAACCGGGGCUAAUACCGGAUAACAUUUUGAACUGCAUGGUUCGAAAUUGAAAGGCGGCUUCGGCUGUCACUUAUGGAUGGACCCGCGUCGCAUUAGCUAGUUGGUGAGGUAACGGCUCACCAAGGCAACGAUGCGUAGCCGACCUGAGAGGGUGAUCGGCCACACUGGGACUGAGACACGGCCCAGACUCCUACGGGAGGCAGCAGUAGGGAAUCUUCCGCAAUGGACGAAAGUCUGACGGAGCAACGCCGCGUGAGUGAUGAAGGCUUUCGGGUCGUAAACUCUGUUGUUAGGGAAGAACAAGUGCUAGUUGAAUAAGCUGGCACCUUGACGGUACCUAACCAGAAAGCCACGGCUAACUACGUGCCAGCAGCCGCGGUAAUACGUAGGUGGCAAGCGUUAUCCGGAAUUAUUGGGCGUAAAGCGCGCGCAGGUGGUUUCUUAAGUCUGAUGUGAAAGCCCCGGCUCACCGUGGAGGUCAUUGGAAACUGGGAGACUUGAGUGCAGAAAGGAAAGUGGAUUCCAUGUGUAGCGGUGAAUGCGUAGAGAUAUGGAGGAACACCAGUGGCGAAGGCGACUUUCUGGUCUGUAACUGACCUGAGGCGCGAAGCGUGGGGAGCAACAGGAUAGAUACCUGGUAGUCCCGCCGUAACGAUGAUGCUAG
rnacentral:rRNA from 1 species